rnacentral:rRNA from 2 species
GACGAACGCUGGCGGCGUGCCUAAUACAUGCAAGUCGAACGCACUUUCGUUAGAUUGAAGAAGCUUGCUUCUGAUUGAUAACAUUUGAGUGAGUGGCGGACGGGUGAGUAACACGUGGGUAACCUGCCCUAAAGUGGGGGAUAACAUUUGGAAACAGAUGCUAAUACCGCAUAAAACCUAGCACUGCAUGGUGCAAGGUCGAAAGAUGGUUUCGGCUAUCACUUUAGGAUGGACCCGCGGUGCAUUAGUUAGUUGGUGAGGUAAAGGCUCACCAAGACCGUGAUGCAUAGCCGACCUGAGAGGGUAAUCGGCCACACUGGGACUGAGACACGGCCCAGACUCCUACGGGAGGCAGCAGUAGGGAAUCUUCCACAAUGGACGAAAGUCUGAUGGAGCAACGCCGCGUGAGUGAAGAAGGUUUUCGGAUCGUAAAACUCUGUUGUUGGAGAAGAACGUAUUUGAUAGUAACUGAUCAGGUAGUGACGGUAUCCAACCAGAAAGCCACGGCUAACUACGUG